UGGGGAAUAUUGGGCAAUGGGCGAAAGCCUGACCCAGCAACGCCGCGUGAAGUAUGAAGGCCUUCGGGUUGUAAACUUCUUUGAUCAGGGAAGAAACAAAUGACGGUACCUAACCAGAAAGCCACGGCUAACUACGUGCCAGCAGCCGCGGUAAUACGUAGGUGGCAAGCGUUGUCCGGAAUUAUUGGGCGUAAAGCGCGCGCAGGUGGUUUAGAAAGUCUGAUGUGAAAGCCCACGGCUCAACCGUGGAGGGUCAUUGGAAACUAAUAAACUUGAGUGCAGGAGAGAAAAGUGGAAUUCCUAGUGUAGCGAUGAAAUGCGUAGAGAUUAGGAGGAACACCGGUGGCGAAAGCGGCUUUUUGGCCUGCAACUGACACUGAGGCGCGAAAGCGUGGGGAGCAAACAGG
rnacentral:rRNA from 1 species